GUUAAGCGACUAAGCGUACACGGUGGAUGCCCUGGCAGUCAGAGGCGAUGAAGGACGUGCUAAUCUGCGAUAAGCGUCGGUAAGGUGAUAUGAACCGUUAUAACCGGCGAUUUCCGAAUGGGGAAACCCAGUGUGAUUCGUCACACUAUCAUUAACUGAAUCCAUAGGUUAAUGAGGCGAACCGGGGGAACUGAAACAUCUAAGUACCCCGAGGAAAAGAAAUCAACCGAGAUUCCCCCAGUAGCGGCGAGCGAACGGGGAGCAGCCCAGAGCCUGAAUCAGUGUGUGUGUUAGUGGAAGCGUCUGGAAAGGCGCGCGAUACAGGGUGACAGCCCCGUACACAAAAAUGCACAU
rnacentral:rRNA from 1 species